rnacentral:rRNA from 1 species
GUCUAUGGCCAUACCAGCCUGCAGACAGCUGCUCUGGCCUGAUCUCAGAAACUAGACAGGGCCUGACCUGGUUGGUACUUGGAUGGGAAAGUGGGCUGGGUCAGUGGUAAAGCAGGAGUCAUGCCCA